rnacentral:rRNA from 1 species
AGCGUAGGCGGCGUGGUAAGUCAGAUGUGAAAUCCCGGGGCUCAACCCCGGAACUGCAUCCGAUACUGCCAUGCUAGAGUGAUGGAGAGGUAGCUGGAAUUCUUGGUGUAGCAGUGAAAUGCGUAGAGAUCAAGAGGAACACUCGUGGCGAAAGCGAGCUACUGGACAUUUACUGACGCUGAGGCUCGAAGGCCAGGGUAGCGAAAG